rnacentral:rRNA from 1 species
GAGUUUGAUCCUGGCUCAGAUUGAACGCUGGCGGCAUGCCUUACACAUGCAAGUCGAACGGUAACAGGUUAAGCUGACGAGUGGCGAACGGGUGAGUAAUAUAUCGGAACGUGCCCAGUCGUGGGGGAUAACUGCUCGAAAGAGCAGCUAAUACCGCAUACGACCUGAGGGUGAAAGCGGGGGAUCGCAAGACCUCGCGCGAUUGGAGCGGCCGAUAUCAGAUUAGGUAGUUGGUGGGGUAAAGGCCCACCAAGCCAACGAUCUGUAGCUGGUCUGAGAGGACGACCAGCCACACUGGGACUGAGACACGGCCCAGACUCCUACGGGAGGCAGCAGUGGGGAAUUUUGGACAAUGGACGCAAGUCUGAUCCAGCCAUGCCGCGUGCGGGAAGAAGGCC